ACAGCCACAUCACAUUGAGACACUGGUUCCCAUAUGAUCACUGAAGUUAAGCAACAUCAAGUUUAGUCAGUAGCUAAAUGAGUGACUGCUUGGGAAUAUCAGGUGCUGUAAG